AGUGAACGCUGGCGGUAGGCCUAACACAUGCAAGUCGAACGGCAGCACAGUAAGAGCUUGCUCUUACGGGUGGCGAGUGGCGGACGGGUGGGGAAUACAUCGGAAUCUACUUUUUCGUGGGGGAUAACGUAGGGAAACUUACGCUAAUACCGCAUACGACCUACGGGUGAAAGCAGGGGAUCUUCGGACCUUGCGCGAUUGAAUGAGCCGAUGUCGGAUUAGCUAGUUGGCGGGGUAAAGGCCCACCAAGGCGACGAUCCGUAGCUGGUCUGAGAGGAUGAUCAGCCACACUGGUACUGAGACACGGUCCAGACUCCUACGGGAGGCAGCAGUGGGGAAUAUUGGACAAUGGGCGCAAGCCUGAUCCAGCCAUACCGCGUGGGUGAAGAAGGCCUUCGGGUUGUAAAGCCCUUUUGUUGGGAAAGAAAAGCAGCAGGUUAAUACCCCGCUGUUCUGACGGUACCCAAAGAAUAAGCACCGGCUAACUUCGUG
rnacentral:rRNA from 1 species